UUUCAUUUCAUUUGCAAUUGGAAACAAGGAAAGCAGGCUGUUCAUUACAUAUUAUUUCUAAGAAAACGUUCAGGUGUUCAACAACACAAAAAUAUAAGAACACAAAAGUAGUUGCUGAAUUUUCAUAUCAUCUUCUCCUUCCUUGAUAGCUAAGUGAUGGCAUAAACGUUUUGGAGUGUUGUCACCCUAUUGUAUGGCUGGUUUUGAAAGCAUAGAGCUGGGAUUCUAAUAAGGUGGUCUAGAGAUUAAGGAUUAGCAUCAGCAUUACGACGAGUUCAUUUGGGUUUUAUAUUGGCAACUUAAGGUACAGAUAGUCGGUUUGGCGAUCCUUCAGCAUAGGACUUUCACUCAGCUGUCUUGGGAGCUCCGUCGUUCCGGAGCCUAGAUUUUGGUACAGACUUACUGAUAUGCAUAUAUAUAUAUGUUUUUGCCCAGGGGUACGACGAGGCCCUGUCCCGUCAUAUGUUACUGUUGAUACUCUUAGAGGUCUGUAGACAUGUAUGUGGGUGGUGUACAGGUUUGAUCAGCUGUGUCUAUAUGGUUAUUGCGGAUGUUCUGUCGUGGUAGCAGCCUUGCCGGCUUGCAUAUGUUAUCGUUUCGUAGUGGCAGCCUUGUCGGUUUGCGUAAUGUACUGAUAUGUAGUGGCAGCCUUGUCGGCUUGCGUAGUAUAAUGAUAUAUAUACAGUGGCAGCCUCGUCGGUUUGCGGAUGUUAUUUCAAUAUGAUUGAUUGAGGACCUAUAGUAUCAGUCCGGUUAUGUUGUCAGGUACAUGUGGGUGUCCAGCUCGGGCACUAGUCAUGGCCCACGGGGCUGGGUCAUGACAAAAAGUAACGAGCAAUCACUUGUACUUGUAAG